AGGUGUACCCUCCUGUAAGAUAGACGUGACCGAAGGAGGUGACCUGGUGUAACCUCCCGUUAGAUACAGGUGACCGAUUGAGGUGACCUGGUGUAACCUCCUGUAAGAUAUAGGUGACCAGGUGUAACCUUCUGUAAGAUAGAGGUGGCCGAUGGAGGUGACCUGGUGUAACCUCCUGUAAGAUAGACGUGACCGAUGGAGGUGACCUGGUGUAACCUCCUGUUAGAUAGAGGUGACCGAUGGAGGUGACAUGGUGUAACCUCCUGUAGGAUAGAGGUGACCGAUGGAGGUGACAUGGUGUAACCUCCUGUAGGAUAGAGGUGACCGAUGAAGGUGACUUGGUGUAACCUCCUGUAAGAUAGAGGUGACCGAUGGAGGUGACCUGGUGUUACCUGCUGUAAGAUAGAGGUGAAACGCCACAUGAGUGCACGAUAUAGAAAUGCAACUGUGCUGGUCAGAGAGAUCGAAUCGGACAGUUAUGAAUACAAUACAAGAUGAUGACUAGGAAACACAAUUAAUUAUUUAUACCGGAGACAAUAAUUCAUUAUAGAAACUAGAGAUCAUGCUUUGCUUGGUAACAUUAUGUUAUAAAAAUUAGCACAUUAUAUACAGUUGUAUGACUGUCAAUUAUAUAUUGACGUUUAUGUACAUUAUAUCAUGAUGUCUAUGUCAAUUAUAUCAUGAUUUUUAUGUCAAUUAUAUCAUGACGGUUAUGUCCAUUAUAUCAUGAUGUCUAUGUCAAUUAUAUCAUGAUUUUUAUGUCAAUUAUAUCAUGACGGUUAUGUUAAGUAUGACAUGACGUUCUUUAAAACGUCUUCUAUAAUGUUGACGUUUUUAUUGAAGAAAUAUUUUUUUGGUUUCGAAUUUGUUGAUGUGUUUUUGUAACCUGCUUCAAAUUGUUAUUUACUUAAAUUAAUUUGAAUUCAUUUAUGGUUUAUAACUCGGUCUUACAGUUACAUAUUUGCUUGGAGAGUUCGAGUAAUGUUCUAUGACUUUGUUGUAAGGUUAGCUGACGUUGUCUCAUACUUACUUAGAUUUUCCUUCAUAUCAAUAAAAUUUAAAUUUGUCCGUUUAUUACCCGUACAAACAAUAAUGCUACCUGAUGGUUCUGUUUGCCUUAUAGUUAUUAUCACCUAAGGCACCUUGUACACAAUGUAUCAUCUGUAUGUCUAUACGGAAAACAUCUCUAAUAUGUAUACACUCUACAUAAAAGCAACAGCACCAUUGAAACUUAACUUUUAUGCAUUUACAGUCAUCAUUAUGACAUUCUUAAUCAGGUUGACGUUGCCAUUUAAGUAUUUAGUAACCCGUAUCUAGUUAAUAUCUGCCUUUGCAAAAGGGACUAUCCGAAAAAAAGUUACAUUUCCGUCAGAGUAUGAGGCCGGUACGAUAGACAAUUGUAAAACUGAAACUUUUUUCUAGACACGAAUUGUCACGUGUCAGAGUUUACUCUAUAUAUAUGAUUCUGACACUGUUAUCUGUGUGGUAGCGGACUGCGUAGUCAACUCAGUGUGUGCUCUCUAUCUGAUAUGAUCAGUGGGAUUAAUGCGAACAUGACUUCUUCCUAGUUGUUGUUGAUUGGUCACUGUGGAUCUGACUACUUCAGCUGUACUGACGAUUUGUUUACAAAUUCAGUCAGAUAAAAUAAUUAUAAAUGCAACCGUACACGUGUUGGAUCGGAAAAGAUAAAGGCACUACGGUAAUAUAUUAAAUGUUAAGUGGCACAUGGAGAAUGGAGUAAUACAUUAUGUAGGUGGUCACCAAUACCACAGGUAACAACACAUAACAUGUGUGUCACACAUGGCAAAGAUGGAAUCACAGACUUAUAGGUACAUGUAGUAAGUCAUGACAAAGGUAGAAACAAAUGGCAUAGGUAGUACAUUAUGGCAACGAUAGAAACACACGACAUAUGUGUGACACAUGACAUAUACAGAACACAUGACAUAGGAAGUAAAUCAUGAAACAGGUAGAAACACAUGACAGGAAGUAACCCAUGAAACAGGUAGAAACACAUGACAGGGAGUAACACAUGAAACAAGUAGAAACACAUGACAGGAAGUAACACAUGAAACAGGUAGAAACACAUGACAGGUAGUAACACAUGAAACAGGUAGAAACACAUGUCAGGAAGUAACACAUGAAACAGGUAGAAACACAUGACAAGAAGUAACCCAUGAAACAGGUAGAAACACAUGACAGGAAGUAACACAUGAAACAGGUAGAAACACAUGACAGGAAGUAACACAUGAAACAGGUAGAAACACAUGACAGGAAGUAACACAUGAAACAGGUAGAAACACAUGACUGUACAUACAUGCCAUAUCUCACGUGAAUAUUAAAUACUUUGUAUUACAAUAUUUGUAAUGAUUAAUACAACUUUAUUUUUCCAUAGCGAUUAUAUAAUAUAAUGCAAUAUAUGACGUCGAAUACUACACAAUUAUUGACUUCAUGUGAGGUUUCUUCAUGAUUUACGAACCUGGUUGAUUAAAUAUUAAUCGAGGUUGAAGCCAACAAAUUCAUGUUCAGGUUAGGUCCGUUACUGAAAUCAAAAAGUAUUUAAUUAUAUGUCAUUAAAAUGUAUCGGUCUCAUCCUUUUGUCACAUUUGAAUUAUUCUAAAUUUUAAUGUAGUCUGUCACAUAGAUAUCUAUUUGGUUUAAAUUGAGCUUGUAAAACACUGACAUAUUCGUUGCAUGACUGAUCCCCUCCAACCUAGUAGUUAAGUAGUUAAUGCGGAGCAGACAAAUUUAAUCUAUUAGAUUGAGGUCUGUGCUUGAACUGGAAAAAAUCUACCCUAUCUUAGCAAGCACUGUUUUGUUAUAUUAUUCUAAGAAUGAGGUCAGUAAUAGGUUUUAUAGACUCAUCACAUGACUUCGCUCCUCCAAUAAGAGCUUUGAAUGAGGACAGGGCUAUCACUAAUAUUACAUAGGAUAUCUAUUUUUAUCAUAAUUAUUACCUUUAUUUUUUCCAAAUUAAGGUUACAAUUGCAUUCCAUAUUAAUAAACACCAAAUAAUGUAAUACUUGAAACAGAACAAUGGAUAAAUAUUACAUGCAUGUAACAAACAUGUAUUUAUCUUAUACGGACACUAUGCACAUUUCAUAUUUACCUUAACGGUCAUAUACGCAUGCACAUAAAUAAGUCAAGAAAGUGUCAUAAAUACGUUUGUAGCUACCAAUUACACAUACAUGUAAUGAUAUAUAGGGUUACUCUCAAAUCAGCUGCCGUAAAUCUUUUUACGUUUUUUAGACCUAUACCACAGAGAUAAUUCUGACACGUUAAAAACAGAAUGUACCCUAGCUAUCAUCUGUUAUAAUACAUUGAAAUGGUGUGAUGUGGAAUAUACAAAUAUAUAACAAAAUGUACCAUAGCUAUCAUCUGUUAUAAUACAUUGAAAUAGUGUGAUGUGGAAUCAUCUGUUAUAACACAUUGAAAUGGUGUGAUGUGGAAUAUACAAAUAUGUAACAAAAUGUACCGUAGCUAUCAUCUGUUAUAAUAUAUUGAAAUGGUGUGAUGUGGAAUAUAACAAAAAGUAACCUAGCUAUCAUAUUUUUAAUACAUUUAAAUGUUGUGAUGUGGAAUAUAACAAAAUGUAACCUAGUUAUCAUUUUUUAAUACAUUUAAAUGUUGUGAUAUGGAAUAUAACAAAAAGUAAUCUAGCUAUCAUCUUUUUAAUACAUUUAAAUGUUGUGAUGUGGAAUAUAACAAAAUGUAACCUAGUUAUCAUUUUUUAAUACAUUUAAAUGUUGUGAUUUGGAAUAUAACAAAAAGUAAUCUAGCUAUCAUUUUUUUAAUACAUUUAAAUGGUGUGAUGUGGAAUACAACAAAAAGUAACCUAGCUAUCAUCUUUUCAGUACAUUUAAAUGGUGUGGUGUGGAAUAUAAAAAAAUGAAACCUAGCUAUCAUAUGUUAUAAUACAUUGAAAUGGUUUGAUGUGGUAUAAACAUAAUGGAACACAUUUUAUUGCUUUAUUACUUAGAUACAAAAACAAUUACUCAAAUGUAUAAUAAACAGUGUUAAUGUAGCCUGUUACUACAUAUAUAAUUGCAUAUUGUUAUAUUUAUAUUUUCGUUGUAUAGAUUUUGAAUAAUUUUGACCAUCCAUAAAUAUUGUUUUUAACCAAUAACAGCUAAAACUAUUACACGCGUGCAUGUAUUAUUUGUUUCAAUCAGAAACUGUUCGGGUCUAUCCGUUAUACUGUCAAGGUAAUCGGGGACAAAGCAUUGAGUGACGUCAAAUUCAGCAGAAAUUCCCUGCUGAUGUUUGCCACCCAACGAAAAUGUGGAUAAGAAAACAGACCUUGACAUUGUUCCACCAUUUGUUACACCAGUUUUAAUGUUUCAUAUCGGAUGAAACCACCAAAAAGGAUAAUAAAUACUUUUUGUUUUCAGUGUAAGAAUCAAGCAAAUUACAAUCUAAAAAUAA
rnacentral:lncRNA from 1 species